ACACUGCUGACGAGUCCCAUACCAGGAUGAAACGGCCGUCCAGUGU
rnacentral:hammerhead_ribozyme from 1 species